rnacentral:rRNA from 1 species
GAUGAACGCUGGCGGCGUGCCUAAUACAUGCAAGUCGAGCGAACAGACGAGGAGCUUGCUCCUCUGACGUUAGCGGCGGACGGGUGAGUAACACGUGGAUAACCUACCUAUAAGACUGGGAUAACUUCGGGUAACCGGAGCUAAUACCGGAUAAUAUAUUGAACCGCAUGGUUCAAUAGUGAAAGACGGUUUUGCUGUCACUUAUAGAUGGAUCCGCGCCGCAUUAGCUAGUUGGUAAGGUAACGGCUUACCAAGGCGACGAUGCGUAGCCGACCUGAGAGGGUGAUCGGCCACACUGGAACUGAGACACGGUCCAGACUCCUACGGGAGGCAGCAGUAGGGAAUCUUCCGCAAAGGGCGAAAGCUUGACGGAGCAACGCCGCGUGAGUGAUGAAGGUCUUCGGAUCGUAAAACUCUGUUAUUAGGGAAGAACAAAUGUGUAAGUAACUAUGCACGUCUUGACGGUACCUAAUCAGAAAGCCACGGCUAACUACGUG